rnacentral:pre_miRNA from 1 species
UGUUAAAAAUUUUAUUUAUUUGUAUUAUUAAAAAUUGACCUGAAUAUCAGAAUAACCAGACAAUGAUGAACAAUGAUCUAUUUUUAACAGUUAAAAUAGAUGAAAUUUUUAAUA